ACUGCUAUCGGGAUAGGACUAAGACAUGCUAGUCGAGUGACUCAGGCAAAACGAGUCACGGCACACAGCUCAGUAACACGUGGCUAAUCUGCCCUUAGGACGAGAACAACCCCGGGAAACUGGGGCUAAUUCUGAUAGGUGAAGAACUCUGGAAUGAGUCUUUGCCUAAAUGGAUUCACGUUAUCCUCGUGAAUUUGCCUAAGGAUGAGGCCGCGACCGAUCAGGUUGUUGGCGAGGUAAUGGCUCACCAAGCCUUUUACCGGUGCGGGCCGUGGGAGCGGGAGCCCGGAGAUGGGUACUGAGACAAGGACCCAGGCCCUACGGGGCGCAGCAGUCGCGAAACCUUUGCAAUACACGAAAGUGUGACAGGGCUAUCCCGAGUGCCAUCCGCUGAGGAAGGCUUUUACCCAGUCUAGAACGCUGGGGGAAUAAGGAGAGGGCAAGUCUGGUGUCAGCCGCCGCGGUAAUACCAGCUCUCCGAGUGGUGUGGAUGUUUAUUGGGCCUAAAGCAUCCGUAGCUGGCUAGGUAAGUCCUUUGUUAAAUCCACCGAAUUAAUCGUUGGAUCGCGGGGGAUACUGCUUGGCUAGGGGACGAGAGAGGCAGACGGUAUUUUCGGGGUAGGGGUGAAAUCCCAUAAUCCCGGGAAGACCACCAGUGGCGAAGGCUGUCUGCUAGAACGCGCCCGACGGUGAGGGAUGAAAGCUGGGGGAGCGAACCGGAUUAGAUACCCGGGUAGUCCCAGCUGUAAACGAUGCAGACUAGGUGUUUGGACGGCCACGUGCCGUUCUAGUGCCGCAGGGAAGCUGUUAAGUCUGCCGCCUGGGGAGUACGAUCGCAAGAUUGAAACUUAAAGGAAUUGGCGGG
rnacentral:rRNA from 1 species